rnacentral:rRNA from 1 species
UGAACGCUGGCGGCGUGCCUACUACAUGCAAGUCGAGCGAACAGACGAGGAGCUUGCUCCUCUGACGUUAGCGGCGGACGGGUGAGUAACACGUGGAUAACCUACCUAUAAGACUGGGAUAACUUCGGGAAACCGGAGCUAAUACCGGAUAAUAUAUUGAACCGCAUGGUUCACUAGUGAAAGACGGUUUUGCUGUCACUUAUAGAUGGAUCCGCGCCGCAUUAGCUAGUUGGUAAGGUAACGGCUUACCAAGGCAACGAUGCGUAGCCGACCUGAGAGGGUGAUCGGCCACACUGGAACUGAGACACGGUCCAGACUCCUACGGGAGGCAGCAGUAGGGAAUCUUCCGCAAUGGGCGAAAGCCUGACGGAACAACGCCGCGUGAGUGAUGAAGGUCUUCGGAUCGUAAAACUCUGUUAUUAGGGAAGAACAAAUGUGUAAGUAACUAUGCACGUCUUGACGGUACCUAAUCAGAAAGCCACGGCUAACUACGUG